rnacentral:lncRNA from 1 species
GUGCCACUUUGCAUCCCACGCCGGAGGAGGCAUUAACGAGACCGGGCUUUUUAACCGGUCCAAGGUGUAGAGCCAUACUUCAGGAGGAUCCUCAGAAGUUUUGGACAAGCCUCCCCAAAUGUGGCAGGUGCUGUGCUGGCCAUUGGUGACCCAAAGAUGAUGAAAAAUAUGUUCCUGCCCACAAGGAGUUAGCGACCUACUGGGGUAUGUGCAAUGUUUAUUCUGUUAUUUUUAAUAUGACGCUUGUGUUAUAUAGUGUGUAGAGAGCUAAUAUGUAAAAAGUAUUUGGCAAAUAAAUUCUGCAAGUAUUUGGCACAAUUUUUCCUUUUACUGAAUGUACUAAUGCUAAAAAAAAAGUUGGUAAUUUGGAGAUUGUUUCUCAUAUAACCAAAUCAAUAAAAAACAGGUUCAAUUUUUCUAGAUUCUGUAGUAAUAGGGCAGAUUAAAGUUUAAAAAGCCACUGAAACAUGUCUGUACUUCCUACACUUGUGUGUAUUUGAAGGCAAAUGAAAGUAGACUAGAAAUGCCACCAAAGCACAUCACACAUUAGCAACAAUGUACAUUUCUUCUUCACACAUAAAACAUUGACUCUUCUGCUUUUUAUUGGUUACUUUAUUGAUAAUUGCUAUCUUUCAUCUUCUCCUACUUCAUCAGUUCCUCCAAUUGAGCAAAGUCUAUAUUGGGAUAAAAUGUGUCUUUCCUUCCUUAAUUAAUGUUGAUUUUUGCCAAAGUAAGUAUUUUAUUUGAGUCAUAAUAAAAAUUAUAAUAGUUUCUUCUUACAGUAACCAUGCAGGAUGCCUUGAGUAGUCCUGAAAAACUAAAUAUAGUAAAUGC